GAGAAAUUAAAAAAAUCGAAUCAUAGGGGGGUAUUUUGCUAUUAAAAUAAAAAAAUAAUAUUAAACUCGAUCGUCGAAUUUCUUAUUACGAUACAGUGUGGUGCACGCGGAAGAUAUAGGAAGUCAUUACUAUCAAACGCUCCGAUGCUGGAGGGAAAACUUUCUCCGAAACCAACGUAAAAUCAUGGCUCUCGGUUUCGAUGAGAAGUUCAUACGAACGUGGGAAUAUUAUUUUAGCUACACUGCUGCUGGUUUUAAAAUGUCUAUUAUGGGAAAUUAUCAGAUCGUAUUCACUCGACCUGGAGAUGUUGCGGCAUUCGGCAAUGAUCCACUAAAUUCUUCCUAGUAACCAAAAUAUAUAUAUAUAUAUA